GACAGAGGGUGCAAACGUUGCUCGGAAUCACUGGGCGUAAAGGGCGCGUAGGCGGGGAUGUAAGUCGGGCGUGAAAUCCCCAGGCUCAACCUGGGAACUGCACUCGAAACUGCGUUUCUUGAGUAUCGGAGAGGAAAGCGGAAUUCCUGGUGUAGAGGUGAAAUUCGUAGAUAUCAGGAGGAACACCAGUGGCGAAGGGCGGCUUUC
rnacentral:rRNA from 1 species